rnacentral:ncRNA from 1 species
UAACUGGAGAGUUUGAUCCUGGCUCAGAACGAACGCUGGCGGCGUGCCUAACACAUGCAAGUCGAGCGGGAAAGUUCCCUUCGGGGAGCGAGUACAGCGGCGAACGGGUGAGUACAACGUAGGUAACCUACCCCCGAGCCUGGGAUAACCUGUCGAAAGACGGGCUAAUACCGGAUAAGACCACGAGGGCUGCGGCCCUUGGGGGAAAAGGUGGCCUCUGCUUGCAAGCUACCACUCGAGGAUGGGCCUGCGCGCCAUUAGCUAGUUGGUGAGGUAAUGGCUCACCAAGGCGAAGAUGGCUAGCUGGUCUGAGAGGAUGGCCAGCCACACUGGGACUGAGACACGGCC